rnacentral:rRNA from 1 species
UACAGAGGGUGCGAGCGUUAAUCGGAAUUACUGGGCGUAAAGCGCACGUAGGUGGCGACGUAAGUCGGGUGUGAAAGCCCCGGGCUCAACCUGGGAAUGGCAUUUGGGACUGCAAGGCUGGAGUUUGGCAGAGGAGACUGGAAUUCCUGGUGUAGCAGUGAAAUGCGUAGAUAUCAGGAGGAACACCGAUGGCGAAGGCAGGUCUCUGGGCUGAAACUGACGCUCAUGCACGAAAGCGUGGGGAGCAAACAGG